rnacentral:rRNA from 1 species
UACAGAGGUCUCAAGCGUUGUUCGGAAUCACUGGGCGUAAAGGGUGCGUAGGCUGCACGGUAAGUCAGGUGUGAAAGCCCGGAGCUCAACUCCGGAAUUGCACCCGAUACUGCCGUGCUUGAGGACUGGAGAGGAGUCUGGAAUUCACAGUGGAGCAGUGAAAUGCGUAGAUAUUGUGAGGAACACUAGUGGCGAAGGCGAGACUCUGGACAGUUCCUGACGCUGAGGCACGAAGGCCAGGGGAGCAAACGGG